rnacentral:rRNA from 1 species
AUUGAACGCUGGCGGCAGGCCUAACACAUGCAAGUCGAGCGGAUGAAGGGAGCUUGCUCCUGGAUUCAGCGGCGGACGGGUGAGUAAUGCCUAGGAAUCUGCCUGGUAGUGGGGAUAACGUCCGGAAACGGGCGCUAAUACCGCAUACGUCCUGAGGGAGAAAGUGGGGGAUCUUCGGACCUCACGCUAUCAGAUGAGCCUAGGUCGGAUUAGCUAGUUGGUGGGGUAAAGGCCUACCAAGGCGACGAUCCGUAACUGGUCUGAGAGGAUGAUCAGUCACACUGGAACUGAGACACGGUCCAGACUCCUACGGGAGGAAGCAGUGGGGAAUAUUGGACAAUGGGCGAAAGCCUGAUCCAGCCAUGCCGCGUGUGUGAAGAAGGUCUUCGGAUUGUAAAGCACUUUAAGUUGGGAGGAAGGGAAGUAAGUUAAUAACUUGCUGUUUUGACGUUACCAACAGAAUAAGCACCGGCUAACUUCGUG